GAGCCACAGCUUUGGCCUGUGGAAUUUCCCAGGUUAGGGAAUAGAAUUGGAGCAGUGACUGCUGGCCUAUGCCACAGCCGCAGCAACACCAUACCUGAGCCGUAUCUGUGACCUACACUGCAACUCAUGGCAAUGAAGGAUCCUUAACCCACUGAGCAGGGCCAGGGAUCGAACCCUCAUCCUCAUGGAUACUAGUCGGGUUCAUUACCACUGAGCCACAAUGGGAAUCUUCCCUUUUCUUAACACCACCCUGCCAUCACCACCACCACAUAAAUCUUUUUUCUUUUUUCUUUUUGUCUCCUGGUUCCUCCACUUUAAUUAUGUACUAUAAAGCCAUCCCACAUACAGAAGGUUACUUUGUAAAGUGACCUGCCAGUGGAAGGUGUUAUUACCUGAGCCAGGACAGCUCCUGGAGGUUGCCUCUGGGCAGCCAGUCCUUCACCUCCCUUGGUUGGAGAGCCCCAGUUUCAUCCAGGUAGCAAUAGGCUCGGCCCCAGAAGAUGAACGCCUUUAGUCUAAAUCAAUUACAACAGGUCUAUUUCAACUUUCCUAUAAAGCCAGUGGCAGUCAGGUGACCCAGUUCUGAGUCCUGUGACCCAAUGAGAUACAAAAGGAAGUUGGCUGGAGGUUUUCUGACAGAAAGUAGUCAGCUGCAGAAAAAAAGACUUUUUUUUUUUUUUUGGCUUUUUAGGGCUGCACCUGCUGCAUAUGGAAGUUCCCAGGCUAGGGAUCAAAUUGGAGUUACACCUCUGGGCCUAUACCACAGCUCACGGCAGCACAGGAUCCUUGACUCAUUGAGUGAGGCCAGGGAUCAAACCUGCAUCCUCAUGGAUACUAAUCAGGUUCCUUUCCACUGAGCCAUGAUGGGAACUCCCCCCCCUUUUUUUUUAAAUUGCGGUAUAAUUGAUGUAAAACAUCAUGUAAGUUUUAGAUGUACAACAUAGUGAUGCAUAAUUUUUAAAAGUUAUAUUCUAUUUAUAGUUAUUAUAAAAUAUUGGUAUAUUCUCUGCAUUGUACUAUAUAUUCCUGUAGGUUAUUUAUAUUAUACAUCAUAGUUUGUACCUCUUAAUUCCUUACCCCUAUUUUCCCUCUCUCCACUAGUAACUACUAGUUUUUCGCUACAUCCAUGAGUCUGCUUCUGUUCUGUUACAUUCAUUAGUUUGAUUUAUUUUUUAGAGUUCACAUAUAAGUGAUAUCAUAUAGUAUUUGUCUUUCUCUGUCUGACCAAUUUCACUUAGCAUAAUAUCCUCAAGGUCCAUUCAUGUUGUUGCCAAUGGCAAAAUUUCCUUCUUUUUUUAAGGUUGAGUAGUGUAUGUCUAUAGAUACAGAUAGAUAUAUAGUGUAUAUACAUAUAUAUAUGUAGUGUAUACACACACACAUACAUAUAUAUA
rnacentral:lncRNA from 1 species